rnacentral:lncRNA from 1 species
GGUGUGGAGUAGUUCAUGGAGGCGGUGGCCGUUGUAGCAUGGUGGAGGAGAAGAUGAAAAAUGAAGAUGAAGAUUCAUGCAGAUGAACGAUUUUGAAGAUGAAGAGGAAGAGGGAAAAAGAAAUGUAAAUAAAAAUUAGUUAGUGGGGGUUCCCUAUUAAACACAUACUCUUGGACAAAAAGAUCAAAUAGUGAAAAUUAGAAGAAUUAAUGAGGGAGGUUACAAAAAGAUCAAAUGGUAAAUUAAUGAUGUUUUUU